AUACGGUGAGUACGUUCCCGGACCUUGUACACACCGCCCGUCAAGCCAUGGAAGCUGGGUGUACCUAAAGUCGGUAACCGUAAGGAGCCGCCUAGGGUAAAACUAGUAACUGGGGCU
rnacentral:rRNA from 1 species